rnacentral:rRNA from 1 species
UACGUAGGCGGCGAGCGUUGUUCGGAAUUACUGGGCGUAAAGAGUGUGUAGGCGGUGCUCUAAGUUCGGUGUGAAAUCUCCCGGCUUAACUGGGAGGGUGCGCCGGAAACUGGAGUGCUCGAGCGUGGGAGAGGAAAGCGGAAUUCCUGGUGUAGCGGUGAAAUGCGCAGAUAUCAGGAAGAACACCCGUGGCUAAGGCGGCUCUCUAGUACGGUACUGACGCUGAGACGCGAAAGCGUGGGGAGCGAACAGG